GCUGCAAAAUGUUCGAAAUUAAAGUCUUAUAAUUCAAUUCAAUCUGAAAGAAAAUACUCUGCUUCGAUGACCAAAUAUACAAUAAACAGGAAGUUUAAGAACUCAAAUUUUAAUACACAGAGCUUGUUCACCAAAGUAUGGAUCGAGCUUUAUUAAUUCCCCCCAUAAUCCUUUUUCUUAUUAUAAAUUAACCUAAAGUUUUCAUGUCGUGAAAUUGAAAAUAAUACACAAAAGCUAUAACAAAGUAGAACACAACAAAGAUACUUUCAGCAUUUGCUAUCCUCCAGCUUCUUCUUGAGAUACUUGUGCCAAAUUACGAGCAAGAAAAACAGAGCAAGGACCCCAACCAGGACUCCGACGACGAUGCCGAAUGUUGCCGAGGACGAUGAUGACGAAUCAUACACUGCAUCAGAUGCAGACAAAUCUGGCGUAGCUUGAGACCAAUUUGGCACAGAUGGUGGUGCCAAUGAAGAAGUAUCCGGGGUGUAAGUUUGUGGAAUAUAAUUUUUUGACAUUCUGGCAAAUUGAAGCAGUUCCUUCGGCAGAGACUUUGUGAUUUGAUAUUGUAGCUGAAAGUCACUUUCCUUCCCUUUGUUGGCGUUUGUGGAAUUAUGAUUUCGACCUCUUUACGUAGCUAACACUAGAGGAGGAAAUAAUUUUAUAAGCGAAAC
rnacentral:lncRNA from 1 species